AGCCCGCUCGCCGGAAGACCAAGGGUUCCUGUCCAACGUUAAUCGGGGCAGGGUGAGUCGACCCCUAAGGCGAGGCCGAAAGGCGUAGUCGAUGGGAAACAGGUUAAUAUUCCUGUACUUGGUGUUACUGCGAAGGGGGGACGGAGAAGGCUAUGUUGGCCGGGCGACGGUUGUCCCGGUUUAAGCGUGUAGGCUGGUUUUCCAGGCAAAUCCGGAAAACCAAGGCUGAGGCGUGAUGACGAGGCACUACGGUGCUGAAGUGACAAAUGCCCUGCUUCCAGGAAAAGCCUCUAAGCAUCAGGUAACAUCAAAUCGUACCCCAAACCGACACAGGUGGUCAGGUAGAGAAUACCAAGGCGCUUGAGAGAACUCGGGUGAAGGAACUAGGCAAAAUGGUGCCGUAACUUCGGGAGAAGGCACGCUGAUAUGUAGGUGAAGCGACUUGCUCGUGGAGCUGAAAUCAGUCGAAGAUACCAGCUGGCUGCAACUGUUUAUUAAAAACACAGCACUGUGCAAACACGAAAGUGGACGUAUACGGUGUGACGCCUGCCCGGUGCCGGAAGGUUAAUUGAUGGGGUUAGCGGUAACGCGAAGCUCUUGAUCGAAGCCCCGGUAAACGGCGGCCGUAACUAUAACGGUCCUAAGGUAGCGAAAUUCCUUGUCGGGUAAGUUCCGACCUGCACGAAUGGCGUAAUGAUGGCCAGGCUGUCUCCACCCGAGACUCAGUGAAAUUGAACUCGCUGUGAAGAUGCAGUGUACCCGCGGCAAGACGGAAAGACCCCGUGAACCUUUACUAUAGCUUGACACUGAACAUUGAGCCUUGAUGUGUAGGAUAGGUGGGAGGCUUUGAAGUGUGGACGCCAGUCUGCAUGGAGCCGACCUUGAAAUACCACCCUUUAAUGUUUGAUGUUCUAACGUUGGCCCCUAAUCGGGGUUGCGGACAGUGUCUGGUGGGUAGUUUGACUGGGGCGGUCUCCUCCUAAAGAGUAACGGAGGAGCACGAAGGUUGGCUAAUCCUGGUCGGACAUCAGGAGGUUAGUGCAAUGGCAUAAGCCAGCUUGACUGCGAGCGUGACGGCGCGAGCAGGUGCGAAAGCAGGUCAUAGUGAUCCGGUGGUUCUGAAUGGAAGGGCCAUCGCUCAACGGAUAAAAGGUACUCCGGGGAUAACAGGCUGAUACCGCCCAAGAGUUCAUAUCGACGGCGGUGUUUGGCACCUCGAUGUCGGCUCAUCACAUCCUGGGGCUGAAGUAGGUCCCAAGGGUAUGGCUGUUCGCCAUUUAAAGUGGUACGCGAGCUGGGUUUAGAACGUCGUGAGACAGUUCGGUCCCUAUCUGCCGUGGGCGCUGGAGAACUGAGGGGGGCUGCUCCUAGUACGAGAGGACCGGAGUGGACGCAUCACUGGUGUUCGGGUUGUCAUGCCAAUGGCACUGCCCGGUAGCUAAAUGCGGAAGAGAUAAGUGCUGAAAGCAUCUAAGCACGAAACUUGCCCCGAGAUGAGUUCUCCCUGAGACUUAGAGUCUCCUGAAGGAACGUUGAAGACGACGACGUUGAUAGGCCGGGUGUGUAAGCGCAGCGAUGCGUUGAGCUAACCGGUACUAAUGAACCGUGAGGCUUAACC
rnacentral:rRNA from 1 species